rnacentral:rRNA from 1 species
AUUGAACGCUGGCGGCAGGCCUAACACAUGCAAGUCGAACGAGUGGCGGACGGGUGAGUAAUGUCUGGGAAACUGCCUGAUGGAGGGGGAUAACUACUGGAAACGGUAGCUAAUACCGCAUACCAUCGGAUGUGCCCAGAUGGGAUUAGCUAGUAGGUGGGGUAACGGCUCCCCUGGGCGACGAUCCCUAGCUGUUCUGAGAGGAUGACCGGCAACACUGGAACUGGGACACGGUCCAGACUCCGAAGGGAGGCAGCAGUGGGGAUUAUUGCACAAGGGGUGCAAGCCUGAUGCAGCCAUGCCGGGUGUAUGAAGAAGGCCGUCGGGUUGUAAAGUACUUUCAGCGGGGAGGCGUUACCCGCAGAAGAAGCACCGGCUAACUCCGUGCCAGCAGCCGCGGUAAUUC